GUCGUAACAAGGUUUCCGUAGGUGAACCUGCGGAAGGAUCAUUACCACACCUAAAAAACUUUCCACGUGAAUCUGUUCUAUACGUUUUGUGCGUUUUCGAGUCUAAUGUUUUGCCUUCGGGUGAGAUAUGGAUUUGUUAAUGCUGAACGAAGGUUGAUGUUGCUGUUAUGGUAGCAUUGACUGAUGUAUUUUUAAACCCCUUUACUUAAUUACUGAUAUAUACUCUGAGAACGAAAGUUCUUAGUUUUAACUAGAUAACAACUUUCAGCAGUGGAUGUCUAGGCUC
rnacentral:misc_RNA from 1 species